rnacentral:tRNA from 1 species
GGGCAUUUGGCGCAAUGGUUAGCGCUUCAGACUUCUAAUCUGAGGGUUGCCGGUUCGAGUCCGGCAUUGCUCU